UGGAGAGAAGAGACCCCGCGGCGCACCUCAGCUGUCUUUGCGCAUGCGUGAGGGUGUCCGGUGGCGUGCGUGUGGGAGAGUCACGUCCUUCAUUUCACUCGAUUUUGCCAGCGAUUCUAGACGGUCUCCGCGACACCGAUUGGUCAAGGAGAAGCGAACUAAAAUGCGUGUGUUUGUGUGUGCGUGUGCUUCAAUCCCUCACUGUCCUCACCUGCUUCACUGUUCCCGUCUCACCUGCCCCCACUGGAGACGAAGAUGCGAUGGCCGGGAAUCGAACCCGGGUCAACUGCUUGGAAGGCAGCUAUGCUCACCACUAUACCACCAUCGCCUGAAGGGAAGAAGUGGUUUUAUAUCAUGUACGUUGUGUUCUCACCUUUGAAUGAAUGCUUUUGAAGUGAAACUCAAAGGACGAUUUUCAAUGGCUAAAGGUGAGAGUUAUUUUUUCAAAGCUUUUCGUCAAGUUUGUCAAUUUUUCACUGCCAUAUUUUGUCCUUUGUUAACUUUCAGAGGGAUGUAAAAGAUUAAUUGCAUAGAUACACAAACAGCGAGGGUAGAAAGUUAAUUUUUGUCCCUUUGUUGUGUUGUGGAGCGAUUCUAGAGUACAAGAGUGAAAAGUUCUUGGUUACGGGAGAAAUGGUCUUUUAUUUGUGUUCGGAGGAAAGGCCAAGUGCGAAGAUGGUGGUCGUAAGAAAUAAGAAAAAAAAAGUCCUUGUAAUUUUUUGUUGUGUUCAUUUUGAUAGUUGCCUUUUGGGGAGGUCAUCUUCUGUAGUAUUUUUAUUUACCUCCAGUUUUUUUCUGUUGCUCCUGGCCAGAACCUCUCACUUAAAAAUAAAUAAAUCAAUAAAAUAAAAUGCUCUCCGUAAAUUGAUUAACUUAGAUAACUGCUCUUCCAUCUUUUGAGUCUUUGCACAGACACCAGUGGCUGAUGAUGACAAAGACAAAAAACAAAAAAACAAAAGAAGGAGCAAUGGUUAAAUGAACGAUUGGGAGACAGGAGGAGGAUAACCCAGUAGAGGGAUACGAGGAAAGGUCACAGCGGCGCCAAGGAAGUUACCGGAGGAGCUUCAGAGAUAAAUACGGUUGCAGUGAUGUCUUUUUUCUGUAUGUUGAGAUGGGCCUUAGAAAAAAAAAAAAAGUAAAUAAAAAAUAAAAUAAAAUAAAAUAAAUGCUAUUAGUAAAACAAUUAACUUAAACUGCCUCACUAUCUUCGACUUUCUGCACGUGAGGAUACUGAAUGAUGAAAAUUAACGAUCAAGAAACAGUGGAGAGAUGCAGGAGUGACGGAAAUGUCAGUGGGGGCAGCAGAAGGCUAUGAACUAAGGCACCACUGCAAAAGGUUACCGGAGGACUGUCAGGUAUUACAACUCGCAUUUUCAGUGGUCCAUUUUCUUUUUAAUUGUCUUUUUUACUGUCAUUUACUCGGAAAUUGUACCAGUAAAGGCAUAAGCUUAGCAAACUGGCUCUCUAUAUUUACUUAUCUUUGCAUUGAAGGAAUUAGGUGGUGAUGAAAAUUCACUUAAAUAAAAGCAAGAUGCCUAAGGGAAAGGGCAGGAGGUCAGUAAAAGGAUACCAGCAAAGGCAACACUUGAGAAGGUUAUCAUAGCAAUUAAAAUCAUGAAACUUGGAGAAGCAUCAGAGGUAUUGGUAUUACAAUUGAAAUGAAAUGUGGAGGGGACUCUAGUUGAUUGGAUACACCUCAUACUUACCUGGAGGGGAUACAGAGCUGCAUGAAAAAAGCUACAUUAAUUCCAGCAUACAAGGAACAGUAGAGAUAGAUAGAUGGAUAGAUAGAUAGAGAGAUAGACAGAUAGAUAGAGAGAGGAAUUAAGGAGAAUCAUGUUGUGGGAUUAUACAACCAGGAAAGUAGAGUUUUUAUAGAGUAGCUUUAGUGAAGAACAUGAUGAAAUAGAGAGAAAUGUGAAUGUGAAUCAUGUUGUGGGAUUAUGCAACCAGGAAAGUAGAGUUUUUAUAGAGUAGCUUUAGUGAAGAACAUGAUGAAAUAGAGAGAAAUGUGAAUGUGAAAACUGACAAUGCUUUAGAGUGUGGGUCCAAAAAAGAUCGUGGGAUUACAACAGGAAAGUAGAGAUUUAUGGUGUAGCAUUGGUGAAGGACAAGAUGGAAUAGGAGAGAGAGAAGUGAACGCCAGGACUACUGAGACAUUAACUUAAGUGCAGCAAUAUAGAGGGGUUAUAGCAAUAAGAAAAUACAGUUUUACGUAGAAAAGCAUUGAUGAUGAUGACGCAAUACAAGAGAGAUGUGGAAACAGUGUGGGGAAAAAGGUGGUAGGAUUACAACAGUAUGGUAUUAGACUACAACGAAUAGUGACAUAGGAGAAUAACUAGAUGCAAUAGGAGAGAAAUGUAGCAACUAUAGAGGUAUUAACUAUGCCUUAAAAAAAUAUGGUGGAUUUGUAACGGCAGGCAGGUAGAAUGACAUAAGUAGUAGCAGUGGUGUAGAAAAAGGUGGAUUUAGGACUAGAGUGUUAGGAUCAGAGAGUCAGUUCGUGGAUGGUAGAAGAAAAAUGUAGCUAUACAGAAAAUUAAUUUGUAAAGGGAAAGUGUGUGUGUGUGUGUGUGUGUGUGUGUGUGUGUGUGUGUGUGUGAAGCAGAUUAUUGCUUAAUUAUAGUUAUGAAAUUGUAGCCAAAAAGUGAAUGGAUUUAGAAAUGACAAAGGGACGUAAGGAUGAGAUUGCCAGUUUAGGAAUGAUGGGUGAAAAUAGUUACUGGAAACGAGAUUGAUGUAGAAAUGGAAAUGAAAUGUCACAUUGUCGAUUUAGGAAUGAUAGUUAAAAGAAAAUGUAGCAAAAUAAAGGAGAAAUUUAGAAAGCAGAGCAUGUACGCAGAUUAGACCGAAUCAUUUGCUGAAAGAAAAAAAAUAAUGCGAGAAACAAAACAGAUGUAUUAAGAAAAACUAGAAAAAUCAAACCCAGAAACGAAACAGACUUAUAAAAGAAAAGAAAACGUCUGGAUGAAAUCGCCAAUUUGAAAAUAAAAACUAAGAACAGAAGAAGAGGAGGAAGAAGAAGAGAAACAAACAUACACAGCAAAGCAGAAUGAGGCUAUAAGCAACCAACACAUCUAGAACUCGUGGAUCCAUUUAACAUAAUUGACAGACCAGGAUACAAGUGUGCUGGGCUGCGAACACUGUAGGUAUGGCGGGCGAGGAGAGUCACUCAAUGAAAUGAACACACACAUAGGCACGUGUUU